UAAGGAAUAUUGGUCAAUGGACGCAAGUCUGAACCAGCCAUGCCGCGUGAAGGAUGAAGGUCCUCUGGAUUGUAAACUUCUUUUAUCUGGGACGAAAACGGGAUUUUUAUCUCAAUUGACGGUACCAGAGGAAUAAGCACCGGCUAACUCCGUGCCAGCAUCCGCGGUAAUACGGAGGGUGCGAGCGUUAUCCGGAUUUACUGGGUUUAAAGGGUGCGUAGGUGGGCUUAUAAGUCAGUGGUGAAAUCUCCGAGCUUAACUUGGAAACUGCCGUUGAUACUAUAGGUCGUGAAUUAUCUGGAGGUAAGCGGAAUAUGUCAUGUAGCGGUGAAAUGCUUAGAUAUGACAUAGAACACCAAUUGCAAAGGCAGCUUACUACAUAUAAAUUGACGCUGAGGCACGAAAGCGUGGGGAUCAAACA
rnacentral:rRNA from 1 species